UUAGUUAGUUGGUGAGGUAAAGGCUCACCAAGGCGAUGAUGGUUAGGGGUCCUGAGAGGGUAGUCCCCCACACUGGUACUGAGACACGGACCAGACUCCUACGGGAGGCAGCAGUGAGGAAUAUUGGUCAAUGGGCGCUAGCCUGAACCAGCCAUGCCGCGUGCAGGAAGACGGCCCUACGGGUUGUAAACUGCUUUUCUGCAGGAAGAAUAUAUAGUCUUAGGGGUAUAUUGACGGUACUGCAGGAAUAAGCAUCGGCUAACUCCGUGCCAGCAGCCGCGAUAAUACGGAGGAUGCAAGCGUUAUCCGGAUUCAUUGGGUUUAAAGGGUGCGCAGGCUGUAAGGCAAGUCAGUGGUGAAAGCCCUGGGCUUAACUCAGGGAUUGCCAUUGAAACUGUUUUACUAGAGUGUAGUAGAGGACGGCGGAAUGAGUUGUGUAGCGGUGAAAUGCAUAGAUAUAACUCAGAACACCUAUUGCGUAGGCAGCUGUCUAUACUACAACUGACGCUGAGGCACGAAAGCGUGGGGAGCGAACAGGAUUAGAUACCCUGGUAGUCCACGCUGUAAACGAUGAUCACUCGUUGUUGGCUACUUAGUAGUCAGUGACCAAGGGAAACCGAUAAGUGAUCCACCUGGGGAGUACGUCGGCAACGAUGAAACUCAAAGGAAUUGACGGGGGCCCGCACAAGCGGAGGAACAUGUUGGUUUAAUUCGAUGAUACGCGAGGAACCUUACCUGGGCUUAAAUGCUGGCUGCAUUGGAGGGAAACCUUCAUUUCCUACGGGACCGCCAGCAAGGUGCUGCAUGGUUGUCGUCAGCUCGUGCCGUGAGGUGUCGGGUUAAGUCCCAUAACGAGCGCAGCCCCUAUCGCUAGUUGCCAGCAUGUAAUGGUGGGGACUCUAGCGAGACUGCCGGUGUAAACCGGAGGAAGGUGCGCGCAUGACGUCAAAUCAGCACGGCCCUUACGUCCAGGGCUACACACGUGUUACAAUGGCCGGUACAAAGAGCAGCCACCUGGCGACAGGGCGCUAAUCUCUAAAACCGGUCUCAGUUCGGAUCGAAGUCUGCAAUUCGACUUCGUGAAGGUGGAUUCGCUAGUAAUCGCGCAUC
rnacentral:rRNA from 1 species